rnacentral:rRNA from 1 species
UACGUAGGGUGCGAGCGUUGUCCGGAAUUAUUGGGCGUAAAGAGCUCGUAGGCGGUGUGUCGCGUCGGCCGUGAAAACCUGGGGCUUAACUCUGGGCGUGCGGUCGAUACGGGCAUCACUAGAGUUCGGCAGGGGAGACUGGAAUUCCUGGUGUAGCGGUGAAAUGCGUAGAUAUCUGGAAGAACACCGGUGGCGAAGGCGGUCAACUGGCCCUAAACUGACGCUCAGGCACGAAAGCGUGGGGAUCAAACAGG